rnacentral:rRNA from 1 species
GGUGGUUUGUUAAGUUGGAUGUGAAAGCCCCGGGCUCAACCUGGGAACUGCAUCCAAAACUGGCAAGCUAGAGUAUGGUAGAGGGUGGUGGAAUUUCCUGUGUAGCGGUGAAAUGCGUAGAUAUAGGAAGGAACACCAGUGGCGAAGGCG